rnacentral:ncRNA from 12 species
GGGUGCGGUGGCGCAAUGCUUCCGCAGGUAGUGAGGGUGGUCGGGCCGCCAUCC